CUUCCUCCCAUUUUCUUUUUUAGGUAAGCUAGCGAAAAAUUUACAAAGCUCUCUGUGUAAAGGUACAGACUCUCUGGAACGCAUUUGAUGCUAAGAUUUUGGAUUUGGGUAAUGAGUAUUUUUUAGUUCAUUUUAAACAUGAGCAUGAGUGUCAAAUAGCGCUUUUGGAAGGCACUUGGAGAAUGAUGGGCAGCUGUCUUUAGGUUAUUCCUUGGUCCAGAAGUUUCGAUGUCCUUCAACAGAGAUAACCUCAGCCAUAGUGUGGCUUCGCUUGCCUGGUUUACCAUUACAUUUAUACAAUAAAUAUGUUUUGCGUGGCAUAUGCAAAGUGUUGGGACGGGUUGUUAAAAUUGAUUAUAAUACAGAGGACGGCUUCGAGGCAAGUUUGCAAGGAUUGUUAUGGAGGUCAACAUAAAGGAUCCAUUGGUUUCUAAAGUGAAAAUUGAAGGGAAAGUGCACUAUGUUGAAUACGAAAAUCUCUCUGAUAUUUGUUACUGCUGUGAACAUAUAGGACAUGCAGAUUCACUUUAUCCUCAUCGUUCUUUUGUAAAUCAAGAUGAAGUUGUUCCUCCCCCUGCGAAAGCUCCUGUGGUAGAGCCGCCAGUGGAUGAGCAUUUGGCCCUUGGAUGGUGGCUUCUCAACGGGGAGACGUGGGCCAAUACGGAGAGAAUCUUUUACUGCAGUCAAUGGAUCGAGAUUUACUGCAUUGGAGAUUGAGGGUGAAGGUCAACUUCCUGAUACGGUAGCAAACGUUAAGGAACAAAAUUAUGGUAUCUCCAUACCUCGUUGUUUUGUGUAUGGAAAAUUUAUCCCAGAGUAUUAAUGUGGAGGUGCAAUGGGGUAAUUGGAAACCAAUUUCUCUUUGUCGAGGAGGUCCCCAGUUAUCCCAUUUAUUUUUUGCUGAUUACUUGAUCUUGUUUGCUGAUGUUUCUAUUGCUCAAGCUACUGUUUUAAAGCAGGUCCUUGAUAAUUUCUGUGCAUCUUCGGGCCAAAGGGUUAAUGCUCAGAAGACCCGUAUUUACUUCUCUAAGAAUACUCAUGUUUCUCAACCGCGACAAGUUUCUUCUCUUUGAGUUUUCAGGAAAUCAGAGACUUUGGGAAGUAUCUGGGAAUGCCUGUUCUCCACUCCAGAGCUUCUAAGAAGACCUAUAAAUUCAUCUUAGAUAGAGUCACUGCCAAAUUAAAUAGUUGGUCGAUGACGUCUCUCUCUCUUGCCGGGUAUGUUAUUUUGGCUAACUCGGUCAUCUCAGCUAUCCCUAGUUAUGCUAUGCAAACUGUCCUUUUGCCUAAAGCUAUUUCCAGUGAGACUGAGAAAGCCUCUCAUUCUUUUAUCUGGGGUUUAGCACGUGGUGCCCUUAAGAUACCACUUGUUACGUGGAGGACAGUGGCGUCUCCUUAGUCUGUUGGUGGCCUUGGUUUUCGAAGUCUCCAUCUCUUUAAUAUUGCUUUUUUGUUAAAGCUUGAAUGGGGUUUGAUCCAUAAUUCGUCUGCUUUCUGGGUGAGGGUUCUUCGCCAUAAAUAUAAAUGGUUCUCCACUGAGAUUCCCACUAUGCUUGCUGGUUCUCAUAGCUCGAUUCUUUGGCGCAAUCUUGAAGCUGUUUGGUCUUUUUUAUUACGAGGGAAUGAAUGGAGUAUUGGUAAUGGUAUUUCUAUUCGAUUUUGGCUUGACCCUUGGGUUUCAGGUGUGGGUCCGCUUUGUGAUAAGGCUAUUGGGGAGAUUCCAUCUGAUCAAAGGUCUCUCUGUUUGCGGGAGUUUGUCACGGCCAAUUAUGCUUGGGAUUGGGCUAAUUAAGUCUGCGUAUAAUAUGCUUGCCUCUGUUGAUGAUUCGGCGGCUGUGUGAAAUUGGAAGAUCAUCUGGCAUUGGAAAGGCCCGCAACGGGUUAGAUUGUUCUUAUGGCUAGCGAUUCAUGCGAGGCUUCUCACUAAUGCAGAGAGAUUUCGUCAGUAUUUUUUAUUGGAAGUUGUGGCUCCGGAAGAAUCAGUUUAUCUUUCUUGGACAAGGGAUAUCUGUUUCUAGUUUUGUUUUUGCAAAUCUCUUUUGUCCGUGAGGUUAGUCACGCGACUGAUUUACAUACUGGAGCUCACGCCUGUCCGCCAAGAAAGGAAUUCUGGAUUAGUUAAGAGUUCCUGCCUAGUGGUUGGAUAUAGUUGGUGUUGUUCGAGGUAGCCCCAAGAUUGUGACUGGUGGUGGUAUUUUACGUGACAGCGCUGGGCAAUGGUUUUCUAGGUAUGCAGCUUGUUGGGGUUCUUGUUCCGUCAUUUGAGCGGAAUUAAUGGCUGUUUGGGAAGGGCUUAGACUUGCCAAAAGUUUUAAUAUUCAUGGCCUGAUUCUUGAAUGUGAUAAUAAACAGGUUGUUGAUUGGUUAAGUUCGGACAGCCAGCCUGCUAACGGUUACAGGUCCCUCUAUUGUUAGAGCUAUUAAAAUGAUGCUUUAAGGGAGUUGGGUUGUCCAGGCUUUUCAUGUCUAUAGGGAAGCUAAUCAAUGUGCAGAGUAGCUGGCUUCUCAUGCUUUCUCUCAUGGCCUGUCCAUCCUCUUUAUUCUCCUUCUAUCGACUCUUGUGGCUCUUCUUGAAAGCUCCCUUUAAUCCAAAAAAUAAUAAUAAUAAAGGAAAUUAUUUUUCAUUAUAUA